CGACUAAGGUUCGAUUCGAGCGUCAGCGAGAAAGCGUUGCCGCAGGCAACGACCCGAAGGGCGAAGCGCGCAGCGCUGAGUCAUCCUUCCCCCAUCACCA
rnacentral:sRNA from 1 species